GUGGGAUGACGUCAAGUCCUCAUGGCCCUUAUGUCCAGGGCUACACACGUGCUACAAUGGCCGGUACAAAGGGCUGCAAGACCGUGAGGUUGAGCGAAUCCCAGAAAGCCGGUCUCAGUUCGGAUUGGAGUCUGCAACUCGACUCCAUGAAGUUGGAAUCGCUAGUAAUCGCGGAUCAGCAUGCCGCGGUGAAUACGUUCCCGGGCCUU
rnacentral:rRNA from 1 species